rnacentral:lncRNA from 1 species
GACAAGUUCACUGAAAACACUUCCCCUUGUACUCUUUCCCUUCAAUACAACACCUGGAAGGCAGGAGUGGAAUAGGAGGGCUUCGACAUGGUGAUCUUAUGGAAAUACCAGAGCCACUGUUGAGAUAUUAUCUUGGUCCAGUAGCCAUGUGCUAUGAUGAGUUCUCAGUGGCCUCUGCUUAUCAAGGACCAACUCAUUCUGAUUGGUGUCUAUUGAAGCAAAGAGCUGCUCUCGCCUGCCGGGACCUCAUUUGGUAUGUUAAGCUGUGUAUCCCCAACAUUUAGCAUGUUGGAAGUCUCAGUACAUGUAUAUUAACUUGUGACUGAAUACACUGAGCCAAUCAAUGAAGUUUGUU